rnacentral:tRNA from 1 species
GGUCCCAUAGCUCAGUUGGUUAGAGCGUCGUACUAAUAUCACCAGUAUUACCAUUGGUUGUAUCUAGUCCAUGCGAAGGCCGGCGGUUCGAGCCCGCCUGGGACCA